rnacentral:misc_RNA from 1 species
GUUGGGUUUGGUGGUUUGUGACUAUGAUGCUAUGGUGGAGCAAGAUUGCAAUGGGUGAGGAGUACAUCAAGUACAAGGACCCAGAACAACCAGUUGGGGUUAGAGUUAAAGAUCUUAUUGGUAGAAUGACCCUUCAAGAAAAGAUUGGACAGAUGAUUCAGAUUGAUAGGACUGUUGCCACAAUUCAAAUAAUGAAAGACUACUA